UACGUAGGUGGCAAGCGUUGUCCGGAUUUACUGGGCGUAAAGAGCGCGCAGGCGGUCGGAUCAGUCGAAUGUGAAAGCCCCCGGCUCAACUGGGGAGGGUCAUUCGAUACUGUCCGACUCGAAGGCAGGAGAGGGAAGCGGAAUUCCCGGUGUAGUGGUGAAAUGCGUAGAUAUCGGGAGGAACACCAGUGGCGAAGGCGGCUUUCUGGCCUGUUCUUGACGCUGAGGCGCGAAAGCUAGGGGAGCGAACGGG
rnacentral:rRNA from 2 species